UUUUGGGACGGCGUGGAAGUGUUACAGAUAAUUCAUAUGAUGUCAUUUGUAUUACAACCAUUUAAGAACUAAAUAGCGCACAUUAAGAAGCGUAAACGAUCUCCCUCCCCACCUUCCCCCUUAGAGUUAUGCAAUUAGUCGUACGCGCGUGUGCGCCAACUAAGCCCGGCCUGGGAUACGCGAUGGAUGGAGGUUAAAUGAUAUGGAGAAGGAUGAAAAAAAAAAAUUGCAAAAACGGUGACCUUGUCAAUGCUGUACGUGCCUUCGGAAGAAUCUUUCGCAUGUGUUUUCUUGUGUAGCAAGAAAAAAAAAUGACCCGGUUGGGUCAGGACCGUAAAUCAAGAUAUUUUGCAAUUUCAAUAAAUUCCUUCACUUCCUCAUAGCCAACGCAAACUAUGAUUGAUUUUAGUAGCUUUACUAGCUCCGCACGAAUUGGUGCUUGCGUUGUCAACAGUUCAGAUUUAUCAACGGCAUAAAAUAUAUUAAAAAAAAAACAACCUAGGAAAUAACAACCUCACCUUACAGUAAAACGCCCCUGAUUAUUACGCCCUGGGUGAACACUCUAGAAUCGAUAUUAAAUGCAAACGAAGUCCGCAUCGGCCAUUCCCACGGGGUGAGUUUAUUUAGGUAAGAGAAAGAGGAAAAGGCAAAAAAAAGUAGCAACACCAGAACUCAACCCGGCCCCGGGGGAAACCGAGGUGCAAAGUUCAAUGUCAGUGGAGCAUCUUUAGCGACGAGAGGUUGUCCGGUUUUGGGGUGGACAGUUUUUACCUUCCAAAUAAGGGUUUUUUGCUUUCAUCGGCGCUGCUUCAGUUUCCUGUACCAGAACAGUUGGCCCUGGAAUGUCUAAUCUAGAUAAUGGGGGGGAAAAAAAGGGAAGGAUUUUUUUUUCUAUCCAACCUCCCGGAAUGUCCAGUGAUAGAUAAGGAGGUAAAUGCGUUUUUUUACUCUUCUUCAGGUUAUUCUCGCUUCACGCGUUUUGCGUUUGCCUUUGCUGUCCAAGAUGUCCAAGAUGUCUAAGAUGAAGUACUCCAUUACAAUCUGGGUGCGAUUCUUGCAGGCACCUGUCCGAGUGUCGUUGACCGGUUGAAGCUUAGGCAUCCCGGGUCGGGGGGGGCGGUGGAGUGAUGAAGCAGGUCCGGCAAGUUUUAUGCGCGGUUUAUCACUUCCUUUUCUACGCGCGCACAUCUCCUGGAGAUACAAGCCUGUACAAAAAUGGGGAGAAGGUUGGUAGAGGUGAUCAUGCGCGAAAAGCAGAAUGCCUGGGCCCAGGCUCGGUGGACAGCUAGAUAUAUACAGGUGGACGUACCGGCCGAUCGAGAGUUCAGAAAGCGCUCGGCGCUCUAGACGUGCAGAUCACGCUACACCAGGGCCGGAGGAAGUCAUUGGAAGUUCCUUCUUGGGGAACGCGACACUUGGAUAUACUGAUCGAUUCGAUUCGUUACUCGAUUCAUUUGGUUUUGUCGGUGAUUAGCAUCACAAGUCGAACCAGUUGAUGGGAGUUGAAACGCCAGUACAAAACACGUACAAAAAAAACACAUAAAAGCAAGGUGAAGCAUUUGCAGAACAGUGGCUUGAAACAGUGUUGAAA